AUGUGUGCUGUACUCCUCCCUCUUGAUAAAAGAGAGAAAAUUUGGCAUUCAGACAAAUAAGAGGCAUGCCAACAAUUUCCUGUGAAGUGGCAUUCUGUCAUUUGCCUCAGGCCCUUCAAUUGUAAAUUCGUCAGUGUCAACACUGUGUAGCGGAGAGAAUACUUUGAAGCACACAGAAGCUUGCUAAUCAACGGCAACACUAAGGUCCUGCCCAGUCGUCUAUGAAUGACAAUAGACCAGACCAUGGAGCCAGUGAUUAAGCUCUGCAGUAGAAUCUACUCUCCCAAACCAGGUCUCGCUCUCCUUUAGCCCAUCAGUUAUCGAUUUACCAUGGCAGGCCUGGGGUGAAUUUGCAUGGAUUUGGAUCACCCUUCAGGACUCAAGCCUGUUCUGUCGCACUGCCUAAAAUUGAAAGUGACAGGCCUUUUGCCUGAGGCUUUAAUCCUGGAAUAGGGUGCCCAAUACAAGCUUCAGAUGAGUCCUUCCUUACCACUCUCGCUAUCUUUCUUUCUCUCUCUUUAUGUGCCUUUUAUCGCUUGUCCAUUGCAACUGAUUUCUUCAUAUGUUAUGAUCAUUUAAUAUGUAAAACACUUUAAUCAUAUGUGUGAUAUCUUCAUUCAUUUCGCUAAAUAAUUCUUUGUAUUUUAGUUAAUCGAUAGGCGUUCACUUGAUGAUCAUGCAAAAUAAAUAUAAAAUGUAUUAAAUCAUUGUAUUAACACAAUUACAAACCUGGACUGUAAAACGACAAGCCAUUCCAAUAUAAAGUUUCCUGAAAGUAUUAUUGUUUUACUUUCUUGCUUUUUAUGUUUUCCAAUAGUGUGCAUGUGUAUGCUGAAUACAUUUGGAAUGUAUGUGUGUGUGUGUGUGUGUGUGUUCUAGGUGACCUUCCAGUAAUUGACAGUAACGGAGUGUGGGACAUUUUUCUGACAGGUUUUCUAAGCCUAGGGCCUUUGAUCUAUGGCCAUGGGCUAUGAUUGCACAUUGUGCACAUUUGCUUUUGAAGGAUGUGGAGGACAUGUUCAGAAGAAGACAUUCCUACCUCAGGCCGCCCUAUCGCAGAUGUUAGUGGGGGCAAAAAUGGGCAUCUCCGGAACCCCUCUAUGCCCUCUCUCACCCAUCCAUGCAUGGCAUGAAGCUGGGGGUGGCCAAGAUGCCAACAAAUAGCAAUUCAUAUUAAAUACUUGUGACAGGUGUCAGUAGUAGUCACAUUCGGUGCCUUGAAGAGUGUCACAUCCUGCUGUUACACAAACCUCAAAAAACCGGUGAGAGAAGGAAAGACACAGAAUGAAUAUGUGCUGCUCACAAAGACAUGUAUGUACCUUGAGGGUCAGCCUUCUUAGUGUGGCAUAGCACACACGCCUUCUGCCAAGCUUGGUUAACCUGGAGAAAGACAGAGAGGGAGAGGGGGAGAGAGAGAGAGAGAGAGAGAGAGAGAGAGAGAGAGAGAGAGAGAGAGAGAGAGAGAGAGAGAGAGAUUACAGUGUCCAAAUUAUUACUGGUGGGGAUUGCAAGGAAAUGCAGCAGUGAUGUCUGGUUUGGUUCAUUUUAAUUAGCUUCAGCGUUUACAAUGUCAACAUGACUUCAUUGUACUUCGACUUAGAACAUUUUUACCAUUUUAGACCCUUUUAUUUCACAGUUGUACACAGUAUGUUAUUUAAUAAAGA